rnacentral:rRNA from 1 species
UGCAGUCGACGAGAUCUUCGGAUCUAGUGGCGGACGGGUGAGUAACGCGUGGGAACGUACCCUUCACUACGGAAUAAUCACUGGAAACGGUGACUAAUACCGUAUACGCCCUUCGGGGGAAAGAAUUUCGGUGAAGGAUCGGCCCGCGUUGGAUUAGGUAGUUGGUGGGGUAAUGGCCUACCAAGCCGACGAUCCAUAGCUGGUUUUAGAGGAUGAUCAGCCACACUGGGACUGAGACACGGCCCAGACUCCUACGGGAGGCAGCAGUGGGGAAUCUUAGACAAUGGGGGAAACCCUGAUCUAGCCAUGCCGCGUGAGUGACGAAGGCCCUAGGGUCGUAAAGCUCUUUCAACGGUGAAGAUAAUGACGGUAGCCGUAGAAGAAACCCCGGCUAACUCCGUGCCAGCAGCCGCGGUAAUACGGAGGGGGUUAGCGUUGUUCGGAAUUACUGGGCGUAAAGCGCGCGUAGGCGGAUUGGAAAGUUGGGGGUGAAAUCCCGGGGCUCAACCCCGGAACUGCCUCCAAAACUAUCAGUCUAGAGUUCGAGAGAGGUGAGUGGAAUUCCGAGUGUAGAGGUGAAAUUCGUAGAUAUUCGGAGGAACACCAGUGGCGAAGGCGGCUCACUGGCUCGAUACUGACGCUGAGGUGCGAAAGUGUGGGGAGCAAACAGGAUUAGAUACCCUGGUAGUCCACACCGUAAACGAUGAAUGCCAGUCGUCGGGUAGCAUGCUAUUCGGUGACACACCUAACGGAUUAAGCAUUCCGCCUGGGGAGUACGGC